rnacentral:rRNA from 1 species
GCCAGCAGCCAUAUCACCCUGCAAUUCUCAAGUGGCUACCCACUGAAGCUAAGCAGGAUUGAGCCCGGUUAGUACCUGGAUGAGAGACCUCCUUUAAAGCUAUGGUUGCUCCUGGAA